UUGACCUCGGAUCAGGUAGGAAUACCCGCUGAACUUAAGCAUAUAAUAAGCCCGGAGAAAAACCGACGCUCCGCAGUUCACCUUAACGGAAAUUUGUUUUUCCCCCCCUUAGGAGGGAAAAACGGGGUUUUCUAGGGGCCGGGAAAAUUUUAAAUGUGGGUUUUAGGGGGGGGCGGCGGGCCCCGAGGGGGGGGAAAUACGGGAGAAGGCUGGGCGACCCCCUGUUUUGGAGACCCCCCGCUAGGGGGCGACCCCCCCCCCCCCCGGGGUCAGGUUAAAGAGGGGAAGCACCCCCAGAUCUGGGGGCGAGGCGACAAAAUGAGAUCCAGAAUGAAUUAUUAUUGGUUUCCGGGUCUACGGCGAACAGAGACGGUGAAUUUUUUUUCGACCCAGAGCGCGGUCGUAUAUAACAGCGGGGUAAAAUGUUUUUCCGGGCGUGUGUGGAGAGAGGAACCGAUAUGAAUCUGUUGAUAUAUAAACACUCUCUCCACAGAA
rnacentral:rRNA from 1 species